AUUGAACGCUGGCGGGAUGCCUAACACAUGCAAGUCGAACGAAACGCGGACGGGUUCGUAAUGUCUGUGAACCUGACUGAUGGAUGGCUAUGCCUACUCGAAACGAUAGCUAAUACCGCAUACCAUCGGCUGUGCCCAGAUGGGAUUAGCUAGUGGGGGGGGUACCGGCUAACCUAGGCGACGAUCCCUAGCUGGUCUGAGAGGAGGACCAGCCACACUGGAACUGAGAAACGGUCCAGACUCCUACGGGAGGCAGCAGUGGGGAAUAUUGCACAAUGGGCGCAAGCCUGAUGGAGCAAUGCCGCGUGUAUGAAGAAGGCUUUCGGGUCGUAAAGGACUGUCAGCGGGGAGGCGGUACCCGCAGAGGAAGCAACGGCUAACUCCGUGCCAGCAGCCGCGGUAAUAC
rnacentral:rRNA from 1 species